rnacentral:ncRNA from 1 species
CAAACGACAAAGGGGUGCCUUAAAUAUUUCGGGCUGAGAUUAUACCCACUGAACCUGAUGCCGGUAAUGCGGACGAAGGGAGGCAAUCUGAUCUUUGUAU